rnacentral:lncRNA from 1 species
AAAACUACGCAAAUAGCGUAUAAACUUGACUGCAAUUGAGUACUCAAUUUUCAAAUUAAUAAUAAGUCUAAGAAUAAUUUUAUGUGGCAGCAAGGUUACGGUAAAACUAAAUGAUUCCAGUUGCUAGCACUUACGCAUUUUGACUUAUAUCUGUUUGUCUAUUUCAACUUAAACUGCUCUUGGAGUGUCGCAUUAUUGGGUAUUUCGGCCAUUUUGAGAAUUUCCUGUUAUGAAGAAAAGUUAUUUUUAUCUUUAACUAAAUGGAGUUUUUAUUGAAGUAAAUCUGUCUUGGAGAUCCCACGUCAAUAAUAUUUCUAAUAAAGUUGCAAAAAGCAUUGGAAUUCUAUACAAAUCUAGAGGUGCAAAGUAAAGAUUUGGCUUGACGAAGUUAAGAUCUUCAUUUGAUCCUAAAGAUCCUAAAGAUUGAAUCAUAAGAUUUGAUUGAAAAGAUUUAAAUCAAAAUGAUUUAAAUCAAUUCGAUUUUUUCGAUUUAAAGAUUUGAUUUAACAAAGUUAUUCGUUCAUUCAAAAGCUCGAUUUCUUUCAAA